rnacentral:sRNA from 1 species
UAAGUUUGCUUACAAGUUGUAUGGUCU